rnacentral:rRNA from 1 species
UACGGAGGGUGCAAACGUUGUUCGGAAUCAUUGGGCGUAAAGAGCACGUAGGCGGUCUAAUAAGUCUGAUGUGAAAGCCCGGGGCUCAACCUCGGAAAGCCAUUGGAAACUGUUAGACUUGAGAGUGAGAGGGGCUUGUGGAAUUCCUGGUGUAGGGGUGAAAUCCGUAGAGAUCAGGAGGAACACCGGUGGCGAAGGCGACAAGCUGGAUCAUUUCUGACGCUGAGGUGCGAAAGCGUGGGGAGCAAACAGG